UGUAACUCGUCCCCGUGGGGUGUGCUGACUCGCACUUUGUUUAAGUGCUGCAACAGCUGGAAAGCAUCAUUCGUGUUUCAGAGACCGUUGACCUUUUGAAAGUACAUACGACCUAAAGCCACUAGAGAGCGCCACACACAUGCGCAGUAUGCUGAAUAACGUCACAUGUUGAUCGAGUGAAACCUCCUCUUCAGUCCAUCCGUCCAUUUUGGAUUGCCCAAAUGGGGGUCAAGGGUGAGCUGGAGAGAAUUUAGAGUCUUCAAUGAACCUCUUUUUGGAAUGUCGGAGUGUCUCUCGGGCAACGACGAGUGGGGUGUUGUUGACUUUGGUGACCGAACUCUUUUUCUCAGAAUCCUUUCAAGAAGUCGUCGUCAGGGCGACGAACGGGGUUCAAACUCCGGAGGUAGCGUUCAAAUGUUGGCGCUUCGGAUGGCCACCCCUUUCAUUUGAGCUAUGAUUUAUGACUGCAGUUAUUAUCUAUUAUUUCAUGUUUAUUUAAAUCAUUUGAUUGUAUUCUUUGUAUUUGGGGCCAACCCAAAAGGUUGUGAGUUCAAUCCUCGGUCCCUGUGACGACGUCCAAAUAUCCGUGAGCAAAAUAUUGAAGUUGCUCCUGAUGCUGUGUCAUCAGGAGGUGAUGCUGUGUCAUCAGGAGGUGAUGGAGGAGACAGUCUUAAAACCAUCUGAGUACCUUGAAGACCAUAGACGGCAACAAGUCCAGAAGCAAAGAAGUUGAUACACUAGAUGGCACCCGGUGUGAGCCUUCAUCUUCAAUUGCAACUGUUCAUUCUCUGCAAAAGUUGUCCGGAGCUGCAACAACUUUUGUAUAAACGGGUGCAUAGUCAUGCUCGACAUGUUCACAUGUGGGUAACAUGCACAAACAUACGUUCAGUGUACAGUCAGAAUAAAAAUACCAUCCAA